ensembl:lncRNA
GAAGAAAGAAAAUAGACUCGCAGAAUACCAGUUCUCCUUCUGGUUCUAGCAACCCAGUGGGUGACUGUGGCUACUGAACAAUUUAUAUCUUCACACUAACAAUCAACGUUAUCAUCAAACUUUUUGCAAGCCAUAAAGCAGUGAGACCUGAGGUUCUUUGCCUCAAGCUGGACCAAAUGGUUCCUCUUUUUUAGUUUUGACUUAAGCAUAUUAUGUAAGCAGUUGUCUUAAUAUUAUACCUGAUUGACAAAUUUCAUUCUUAACCCUUUCAGCAUAAUUUUUCCAAUUUAGUAUUAUGUUUUUCCCUUUAUUCUCUCAACUCAGAUUUUCCCACAAACUUUCACAUAG